GAUAAACGCUGGCGGCGUGCUUAACACAUGCAAGUCGAACGAAGUUUUUCCUUCGGGAGCAACUUAGUGGCGGACGGGUGAGUAACGCGUGGGUAACCUGCCCUGUACAGGGGGACAACAGCUGUAAACGGCUGCUAAUACCGCAUAAGCCCUUAGCACUGCAUGGUGCAUAGGGAAAGGGAGCAAUCCGGUACAGGAUGGACCCGCGUCUGAUUAGCCAGUUGGCAGGGUAACGGCCUACCAAAGCGACGAUCAGUAGCCGAUCUGAGAGGAUGUACGGCCACAUUGGGACUGAGACACGGCCCAGACUCCUACGGGAGGCAGCAGUGGGGAAUAUUGCACAAUGGAGGAAACUCUGAUGCAGCGACGCCGCGUGAGUGAAGAAGUAUUUCGGUAUGUAAAGCUCUAUCAGCAGGGAAGAAAGUGACGGUACCUGACUAAGAAGCACCGGCUAAAUACGUG
rnacentral:rRNA from 1 species